rnacentral:rRNA from 1 species
AUUGAACGCUGGCGGCAGGCCUAACACAUGCAAGUCGAACGAGUGGCGGACGGGUGAAUAAUGUCUGGGAAACUGCCCGAUGGAGGGGGAUAACUACUGGAAACGGUAGCAAAUGCCGCAUCCCAUCCGAUGUGCCCAGAUGGGAUUAGCUAGUAGGUGGGGUAACGUCUCACCUAGGAGCCGGUCCCUAUCUGGGCUGAGAGGAGGAACAGCCACACUGUAACUGAGACACGGUCCAGCGUCCUACGGGAGGCAGCAGUGGGGAAUAGUUCGCAAUGGGCGCAAGCCUGAUGCAGCCAUGCCGCGUGUAUGAAGAAGGCCUUCGGGUUGUAAAGUUCUUGCAGUAAGGAGGCGUUACUCGCAGAAGAAGCACCGGCUAACUCCGUGCCAGCCGCCGCGGUAAUUC